UGAGUAGCGUCAAUGGGCGUGAGAACCGCCCACACCGCAAGCCUGAGGGUUCCUGGGCAACGGCAGUCGUCCCAGGGUCAGUCGGGGCCUAAGCCGAGGACAUCACGUCGUAGGCGAUGGAAAGCAGGUUGGAUAGUCCUGCACCGGAGCGCAUCGUAUGAGCGAAGGAGGGACGCGGUAGGGAAGGUGAACCGAUCAAGUGGACAGGAUCGGCUGCCUGAGCGAAGGACGAGACCGAGGAAAAUCCCGGACUCAUGUGUCUGACGCCAGGCACGAGCUUCCGAAAGGGAGCGGAAGUCACUGGCCCCCAGGCCGCCAAGAAAAGCUUCUAGCGAGAUGCCGUUCCGCCCGUACCGCAAACCGACACAGGUAGGCAGGGGGAACUCCCCCCAGGUGAACGAGCGAACCUCUGUCAAGGAACUCGGCAAAUUAACCCCGUACCUUUGGAAGAAGGGGUGCCUCAGUAGCUUGUCUGGCCUUGUGCCAGAGGGGUGAGGAGGUCGCAGGAAACUGGCUCAAGCGACUGUUUACCAAAAACACAGGUCUCUGCGAACACGAAAGUGGACAUAUAGGGGCUGACUCCUGCCCAGUGCCGGAAGGUGAAAGGGAGUGGUGAGCGUAGCCACGAACUGAAGCCCCGGUGAACGGCGGCCGUAACUAUAACGGUCCUAAGGUAGCGAAAUUCCUUGUCGGGUAAGUUCCGACCCGCACGAAAGGAGUAACGACUUGAGCACUGUCUCGACAGGGGGCUCGGCGAAAUUGAAGUACCCGUGAAGAUACGGGUUACCCACGACAGGACAAAAAGACCCCGUGGAGCUUUACUACAGUGUGGCCUGGACAUAAUGGGACGUUUGCGUAGGAUAGGUGGGAGCCGGAGAGUGCAUUCUUGUGGGAGUGCAGGAGGCGAAAGUGAAAUACCACUCUUGCGUUGCGUGGUGUCUCAUGCAUGACCGUGAAGCCGGCGUGCAGACAGGGCCAGAUGGGUAGUUUGACUGGGGCGGUCGCCUCCCAAAGAGUAACGGAGGCGCCCAAAGGUUUCCUCAGGAUGAAUGGACACCAUCCGCAGAAUGUAAAGGUAGAAGGGAGCUUGACUGUGAGGCUGACGCGCCGAGCAGGGACGAAAGUCGGGCUUAGUGAUCCCACAUUCCCGAGUGGAAGGAGUGUGGCUCAACGGAUAAAAGCUACCCCGGGGAUAACAGGCUGAUCUUGCCCAAGAGUUCACAUCGACGGCAAGGUUUGGCACCUCGAUGUCGGCUCGGCGCAUCCUGGGGCUGGAGUAGGUCCCAAGGGUUGGGCUGUUCGCCCAUUAAAGCGGCACGCGAGCUGGGUUCAGAACGUCGCGAGACAGUUCGGUCUCUAUCCGUCGUGGGCGUAGGAAGAUUGAGGGGUGUCAUCUCCAGUACGAGAGGACCGAGAUGGCUUGACCGCUGGUGAGCCAGUUGGGGGGCCUCCCCCAGAGCUGGAUAGCUACGUCAAGAAAGGAGAAGUGCUGACCGCAUCUAAGCACGAAGCCGCUCCCAAGAUGAGUCUUCCCGAACGCAUGUCGUUCCAAGGUCCCAGGCAGACGACCUGGUAGAUAGACCACGCAUGCACGCCUGGUAACAGGUGAGUGAAGUGGCCCUAAUGACCGAACGGCUUGUUCAU
rnacentral:rRNA from 1 species